UCCCUGGUGGUCUAGUGGCUAAGACUCUGCACUUCCAAUGCAGUGGGCAUAGGUUUGAUCUCUGGUUGGGGAA
rfam:TPA: Bos taurus chromosome 16, whole genome shotgun sequence.